AGAGGUUUGGAUCAUGGCUCAGAACGAACGCUGGCGGCAGGCUUCAUACAUGCAAGUCGAGCGAUUAAAGCCCCUUUCGGGGGGUGUAUAAAGCGGCGAACGGGUGAGUAACAGGUGGAUAACCUACCUUCGGGUGAGGGAUACCGGUUGGAAACGGCCGUUAAUACCUCAUGUCAUUGCUUCCCUGCGGGGAGGUAAGAAAAGGCGCCUCAAAGCGCCGCCAGGAGAUGGGUCCGCCCCCCAUUAGCUUGUUGGUGAGAUAACAGCUCACCAAGGCUUCGAUGGGUAGCCGGGCUGAGAGGUUGGCCGGCCACACUGGGACUGAGACACGGCCCAGACACCUACGGGUGGCAGCAGUAGGGAAUAUUGGACAAUGGGCGAAAGCUUGAUCCAGCCAUGCCGCGUGGACGAUGAAGGCCUUCGGGUCGUAAAGUCCUUUUCUGAGGGAAGAACAUCCUGGAGAGGAAAUGCUCCGGGCUUGACGGUACCUCAGGAAUAAGCAACGGCUAACUCCGUGCCAGCAGCCGCGGUAAUACGGAGGUUGCAAGCGUUGUUCGGAUUUACUGGGCGUAAAGGGAGCGCAGGCGGUCCGGUCAGUCUAAAGUGAAAGCCCGAGGCUCAACCUCGGACGGGCUUUGGAUACUACCGGACUUGAGUGCGUGAGAGGUGAGCGGAAUUCCAGGUGUAGCGGUGAAAUGCGUAGAUAUCUGGAGGAACAUCGGUGGCGAAAGCGGCUCACUAGCGCGACACUGACGCUGAGGCUCGAAAGCGU
rnacentral:rRNA from 1 species